rnacentral:ncRNA from 21 species
UAAAAUGAUGAAAAACCUUCACAGACCUGUACUGAUCACUGACGUGCAGAAAACCAAUUGCCUAUUCUGAGU